GACCAUGUGGCCUAAUGGAAAAGACAUCUCACUUUGGGUCGGAAGAUUGAGGGUUCAAGUCCUUUCAUGGUCA
rfam:Macaca mulatta chromosome 5, whole genome shotgun sequence.